rnacentral:lncRNA from 1 species
ACUGAGGUGCAGCAGAGCCCAGAGGAGGCUGUCAGCAGCAUCCCAGGAGGAUGUUGCAAAACUGAUUCCUGUUUAUGGACGUGGAGGGUGAAGGAGGUGUUCAUGGGGCAUCACCCAGGGUGUAGUCUGAUAUUAACUUGCAUGCUUCCUUAUGAUGGAAACCUGGUCUGGGUUGCUCACCACUGAACCUCCUCACACCUGGAGCCGUGCCUAGCACAAGGAGCUUACGUAUCCUCAGAAGAGAAGAAACAGAGACGAUUGCUGUCUUCAUUUUAGAGACAAAGAACCCGAGGCGUAGAGAGCCAGGGGCACGUUAACAGAAAAAGGCUGGCAGCAAAUGCCCAACUGGACAAAAAACAAGCAAAGAAGGAGAGAGACGGGAGGGAGUUGGC